rnacentral:misc_RNA from 1 species
GAAUGUUCGGAGUAGUCAAAGGAAUAUGUUAUCCGAGUUACACGGCAAUGCAUUUCUGACGCUUGAACCGUGUAGGACCGUGCAUCACAAAAUCAACUAUGAGAAGACCAGCACCUGACCCCAUUUACAGCCUAAGAGGCUCAAGUAGUGCACUGUCGUUCUUGAAGUUUCAGGGCAAUGAGACACUGUAUUCAGGAAACUAUGAUGGAGCUGUUUUUGAAUGGUCCAUGGAGACGCGGAGAGUUGUCAGCAACUUCUCAGCUCACCCAGGUCAUUCUAUCCUAUAUCUGGACUUCAGCAAUGAUUCACACUUGAUAACCCAUGGAAGAGAUGGUCUGGUAAAAAUAUGGGCAAAGAAUGAGACAGGCAUGAGGCAGAAUGGUGAACUAAAAUGCUCUGACACUGGGUUCUGUGGAAGUUGUUUAUUAGCUGAUGGAACACUUGCUGUACCAGGCUUCAACCAAUCAGAAGUGGAUGUGUAUGACCUUAACACUGUGAAAGUCAUUUCUCAGCUUAAGCAUGACAAUUCAAACAAAAAAUGUGGAGAAUAUAACAGAUCAUAUGAGGCGGUCUUGGAGAAACCCUGCGAGAGAGAUGUUCAAGAUCGCUGUCCAGAUUAUGACACUAUUAAUUAAAAUAUAAAUGAGGCGGAUAGAGAUAGAAGAAGAAAAGUGAAAUCAAAGCAUAGCAAUCUGUUAUUCCUGUUGAUGGACCUACAAAACAAUUAGGCAGAAGACUGACUCCUCCAGAUAUUGCCAUCUUUGAGGACAAAUCCGCAAAAGCCGUACACUUUGAGGCAGAGUCACAAUUGCAAU